rnacentral:rRNA from 1 species
UACGUAGGGAGCAAGCGUUGUUCGGAUUUACUGGGCGUAAAGGGCGCGUAGGCGGCAGAUCAAGUCAGCUGUGAAAUCUCCGAGCUUAACUCGGAACUGUCAGCUGAUACUGUUUUGCUAGAGUGCGGAAGGGGCAAUCGGAAUUCUUGGUGUAGCGGUGAAAUGCGCAGAUAUCAGGAGGAACACCGGUGGCGAAGGCGGAUCUCUGGGCCGAUACUGACGCUGAGGAGCGAAAGCGUGGGGAGCGAACAGG